rnacentral:misc_RNA from 1 species
GAUGAAGAACGUAGCGAAAUGCGAUAAGUAAUGUGAAUUGCAGAAUUCAGUGAAUCAUCGAAUCUUUGAACGCACAUUGCGCCCCCUGGUAUUCCGGGGGGCAUGCCUGUUCGAGCGUCAUUUCACCACUCAAGCCUCGCUUGGUAUUGGGCAACGCGGUCCGCCGCGUGCCUCAAAUCGACCGGCUGGGUCUUCUGUCCCCUAAGCGUUGUGGAAACUAUUCGCUAAAGGGUGUUCGGGAGGCUACGCCGUAAAACAAACCCAUUUCUAAGGUUGACCUCGGAUCAGGUAGGGAUACCCGCUGAACUUAAGCAUAUCAAUAAGCGGAGGA